UCUGGCCAGUGCGUUGACGUAAUUCUUCCAGAAUAAGAAAAGCGCGUUCACGGAUCUCAUAUACUGUACAUGAAUGAACACGGUGCACGAGCAGGGUGUCCUCGCGAGCGACGCAUCUCAGACAGCACAUCACCAUGGUGAACCCCCUGUUGUAAAACUCACCAGUUUUAUAAUUUCUUUGCAUUUGGGCUGCAUGUAAGAUCUGAUGUCUGCAUCAAGCUUUCUGAACGGUUUAGCUGCAGUGUAUAGGGCGUUUUAGAUCUGUGCAGUUGUUAGCAAAUUUAGCUUUUUAUUGUGGAAGCCUUGAUAAAUGGUUUAAACAGUACUUAAUGCUUUCUAAGGUUAAUAGAUGAUUUACCAAUAGUAAACGGGGUUGCAUGUCGUCAAUUAGAAAACUGUCCACUUGGCCACAUUUUGAAAAAUGCUGCAGAACUUCUAGAUAAAAAUGUAUUUAGCAACAUUUAAACGAUCCCAGGUAGCCAAAAUGGUUUGGCUCAAUAUCGGCUCACAUCUAUCGGACCAGAUGAACUAACUCAGCUUAGUCCGCUUGCGAGGUACUUGUGGAACAUGAUUGUAAAUGACACACCAGAUUCGAAUCUGGUAUGGAUUCUAGUCUGGUUGCCGACACUAAACUGACAAUGCCAGCUCAGAGCCACAAUCACCUCAACCAAUAGGGUAGACCUACCCAAUGCUGGCACAAAUCUGUAUGCCAAGACCUAAUCUAUAUAUCACCAGUCAAGGUUAUGGUCUACCCAACAAAACUGCCAAAAUCCACCCAUAUCUAAACUAGCUGACAGCUUUGAAAAAAUGUAAUAAGUGAGCCAUUGUUCCACCAGGGCUAGCCGUGGCUGAUUUUGAAAUUAAAAAAUGCCAUAAAUGUGUUAAGAAUGACACAAAUGGACUUUUCAACUCAAAGCCAUAGCUUAAAUAUACUUGUAUUUAAUGAAAAACAGAUUUCAAACACUUUUUUGUACACUGUAUCUUUUCUUGUGAAGACUUUGUUCCAAAAAAACCCCCCAAAAAUUCAACAUAGAUGAAAAAUGGAAAUGUUGUUCUUGAAAGAUGCGUUCCAGGUUUAAGAUGUGUAAAAAGUACGCAAUUCAAAAUAAUGACUUUGUUACCUCAUUAAAAAUCCUAAAGGUCACCUCUACUCCUCACAAGCUAAAAAUACCUUGAAUGUUUUAAUAAACAGUAUUUAUUAGCAUUCGUAUCGACCUACUAAGAUCUGAAACUGCAGAAGUGAUUGCUUAUUUGAAAGUGAAAGAAAUUUGCUGGGUUACUAGUAAUGAUAACCAAAAUAGCAUUAAUUAUUCACCAAUGUUACCGCCCUUCACAUUCAAUAAAACAAUUUCAAAUAAUUCUGUCAGAUGAAAGCUCUGCUCAAGCUGAAAGUAGGUGGAGCUGUCAUGGGAAUUUCAUGACUUCACCAGACACUAUAAUUUGCCCCACCUUAAAAUGUACAAAAAAAUCCAACAGAGGAGCAAAGUAGAUAUCAAUCACUUACCAGUGUGGGAAGAUCACUAACUGAGUUACACUCAGUUGCUUUAAAUCCAAGGGUCUGAUAUAGAACUUUGUCACAGCAAAUAUUUUUUAUUGUUUGAGCUUUAAAACAACUGUUGUAGAUUUGGUGAUCUAGGAUUAGUUCAUGCAAACAGGUGCCUUUUAGAACAUGUUUUUUUCAUACUUUGUCUUCAAAGAUAAAAUCUCCGUCAAUGUGUAAAUGCAAAAACACAACAGAAGCACUUUCAAGAGCAACAAUAAACUCUAAAGCCACACAGGCGAAUUGGAAGCUUGAUAAAAAGCUGUUACUGAUUCUGGCAAACUACCAGUAAAGACACAGAGAAACAUAUAUGUAGACUCCUCUGUACCUUGGUAUUGUGAAAGAAUAACUCUACAUUUAUCUGUAAAAAUGGAAAAUGUCCUGUUAGUAAGGCAAGCACCAGCAAUAUUUUGGCCAUGUCCACCACUGCACAAAAUCGUAAACAAAGAAGAUAACGGCACACAUUCAUCACAAGCCACAAAUACUCUGUCUUCACUGUCCACACUACAAAAGAAGUUUCUGAUUAUCUUCACCCUUGAACGAGUUUUCAAAAAGCUCAGUUUUCAGUAACCUUAAACUUCAUUUGUGUGCAAAGUAAAGGCCACAAAACAUAGAAAAGGCUACGUUUUAAAUGACACCCAUGUAGGUUUGCACAGGUCGAGAGCUGAUGAUGAUCUAGUGUCAUACAUGCUGGCUCACUGGGACACUCGAUCUAAAAACUGACCUAUCAUUAACAGCAUGUGUUUGUCUGCUGUGAAAAGUCAAAAUGUCUGCUGUGAAUAAGAUCUUUUGUGCUUGCUUCCUCACUGUCACAUGCUUGGAACAGUUUCCCCACUCAUGUAAUAUUGAUUUUGUCAGUAAUAACUGUGAUUUUACUUCUAUCUCAAGCAAAAAUGUCCUCUGUUAUAAAUUAUCAGCCCUAAGAAUUCUAGUCAUCUGUGUGGGUUUGACAUUACUGUAAAACACCUACUAUAACAGAUGUAAUAUUCCCAAUUCCACUUCAUGUUAGGAGAACUUUUACAGACUGAGUGCUUGAUAAGUUCCCACUUAAACCUACAGUAUUGUGUAAAUGUUUUAGACACUUUAGAUGUUUAAAAUGUUAUCCAUUAUGCAACACCACUAGACACUAGGACCCGUACUAAGCCUCAACAUUAUGAAGUCUGUUUGGAAUCACACAAAGAGACCAAGGCAACAGUGACAAUCCCAGUCCACAGAAAGAAAGUUUUUCUGAGAAUUGUAAAAUUGUGACACAUAUCAUACAUGUUUGUAUGUUUACAAACUGAGCACAGGGAUGGUUUUUCUUACUUUCUUUCUGUCUUUGUGUUUUUUCCGCGUCAUUGCAUAAGUUUGCACCUGAGAGUGAUAAUUGCCACACUUUCCCAGUGUCUGUAUGUGUGUGUUUGUGUAGUUUUGCCGCAGAUGAGUCAUGUGUUUGGGCAUGUGGCACCACCAAAGCAGUGUUAUUGCGUGAGAUAUCUCUCAUAAGUGUGUUUUCCACAAGGAUUGUUUGGGUUGGCGUCGAUACAGAUACGCGUGUGUAGACUAAUCACUCAGCCAGGCGAUCAGUAGGCAUAUCCUGGUAUUGUCCUGCUGAGUGCGUUUGAUGGUGUCAGUCUGCAGGCACCAAGUUGUGGACAGAACGAAAUUCUGCCCUUCUUGACAUAACCUGGCGAAGGGGAGUGGUCUCCAGGAAGAGCCAAUGAGAGCUGGGUGGGGGUGCGGGCUUCGCUAUUAAAUAGAGAUUUCAGUGAGGUUUAAGGUCUGCGUGUGCAAUAAGGCGUUUCACCCUGUUCACAUCUUAAUACUGUGACUAUGUGAGGUCUGAAUGCGGAUUUCCUAAUUUUGCAUUGUGUUUGCCUUAUCUGGAGUCUGGAGCCAUGGAGGUGUGUAUCAGGAGGUAUUUGCAAGAAAUUGUCAUCUUUCUGCAUCUGACAGCUUAUGUGGCAGGUAUGACAGGGAGAUGCAGUCUGUUCGGACGACACCACGUUCACACAUUUGAUGGGGUUUUGUACGAGUUUCCUGGAGACUGCAGCUACCUUCUGGCUGGAGACUGCAACCAUCGCUCCUUCACACUGCUGGGUGACUUUCUAAAUGGCAAAAGAACUGGAGUCACGCUGUUUCUUGGGGAUGCCUUUGAGUUGCACCUGUCCGUAGAUGGACGCCUCUCACAAGGAGAAAAAAGACUGUCUCUGCCCUAUGCAUCUCACGCUGUGUUUGUGGGCUCAGAGCUUGGUUUUUAUAAGCUCUGGAGCGAGGAGUUUGGCUUCACUCUCACCAUUGAUAACGCUGCCAACAUCGCCUUGACACUGACCAAACAUCAUGCCAACCGCACCUGUGGCCUCUGUGGCAACUUCAAUGCUGUGUCAGCUGAUGAAUAUACUGCUCAGGAAGGUUUCCUAACAGAGAACAGUUAUGACUUUGCAAAUUCAUGGGCAGUGAAGGGUGCCGAUCAGGCUUGUCGACGCGUCUCGAAUCCCACCCAAUCCUGUAAUAGCACAAAAGAGACUUCAACGAUUUUGUCCAGCUGCAGCGUGUUGCAGACCUCCAGUGUGUUUCUCCAUUGUGCCCACUUGGUCGCUCCUGAGGCGUUUCUGUUGCUGUGUCAGCUGGAGGCUUGCUACUGUGCCCACGGUCCGGGGGAAGACUGUUACUGUCCAAUCCUGUUGGAGUACGCUCGCACAUGCCACGCUCACGGGGUACUUCUUCGUGGCUGGCUGGAGGAGAGCCAGUGCUACCCCAAGUGUCCAAUUGGAAUGCAGUACAGUGAAUGCACCAAGUCCUGCUCUACAACCUGCCAUAGUCUCAAUAUCCAAGAAGUUUGCAAGGAAGAGUGUGUGGACGGUUGCACCUGUCCUGUUGGUAAAGUUUUAGAUGGAAAUCGCUGUGUGGAGGUUUCUCAGUGUUCCUGUGCGCACAUGGGACGACAUUUCCCUCCAGGAUCCACCAUCUCUCAGGACUGCAACACCUGUGUGUGUCGUCAUGGUUCCUGGGAAUGUACCAAUGAAGGCUGCCCUGGUGAGUGCUUAGUGGUUGGACAGUCUCACUUCAAGACCUUUGACAACAAGUUCUUCACCUUCACUGGCCACUGCCAGUACCUGCUGGCAAAGGACUGCACACAGGACGAGUUCUCUGUCAUAAUUGAGAAUGUACAGUGUGCAGAUGAUCAGGAUGCUGUGUGCACGCGCUCAGUGACACUCAGUCUGCCCUCUCUGGAGGACAUGACAGUAAAGCUGAAGCAUGGAGGAGUUGUUUCUGUCAACAGCAUGGACAUCCAGACCCCAAUGCAUCAUGGCCGUCUGAAUAUCCAGAGGUCUGUUCAGACUUCUGUGCGUGUGAAGUUUGGUGAUGACCUCCGUCUGGACUGGGAUGGGCGUGGCCGUGUGCUGUUAAAGCUGGGACCUCAAUGGGCAGACCGGACCUGUGGUCUCUGUGGUAAUUACAACGGCAACCAAGGUGAUGACUUCUUGUCAGGCUCUGGACUGGUUGAGGCAGGUCCUCAGGCGUUUGGCCAGGCCUGGAGGAUCAAUGGAGACUGCGAGUCGACUCACAAACACGAGACUGAUCCAUGUGCCGUUAACCCCAAAAGAGUGCGUUUUGCAGAAGAAGCCUGUGCAGUGAUAACGUCAGACGCGUUCAGUCCAUGCCACUUCCUGGUGAACCCGGGUCCAUUCCAGCGGUUCUGCCGGUAUGAUGUGUGUGCCUGUGGUGACGGUGAAGGUUGCCUCUGCUCUGCUCUGUCUGCUUAUGCAGCUGCCUGUGCUGCCAGAGGAGUGCUGCUCAACUGGAGGUCUCCUUCACUCUGUGAACUGGAGUGCACUGGAGGGCAGGUGUAUCAGGCCUGUGGGAGUGUGUGUGACCGGACAUGCAACUCUCUGUCUGGAGCUGAGGCUGGCUGCCAGGGGGAGAGAGUAUGUGAGGAGGGCUGUUUCUGUCCUGCUGGGAAAUACCUGAGUGCCUCCGGGGAAUGUGUGACAGCUGACCUGUGCACCUGCCUGCAUGAUGGACAGCUCUACCAGCCGAAUGACGUCUAUGCAGAUCACAACAGCAUUUGCUACUGUGAAAAUGGCUCCAUGCGCUGUAGUUCCACUGAAACGGCUUCAAUGCUGUCUGACCUCUUCUAUGAUGACGACUUGGUGCCAUCCAGAGAGCGGCGGUCAGCUCAGUGCCCUCCUCCACUGCUUCGUGCAGGCUGUGAUUCAGGCGAGAAGGGUCUGGAAUGUGCCAGAACCUGCCAGAAUCUGGACCUGCCUUGUGUCAGUCUUGCCUGCAUCCCUGGCUGCCUCUGUCCACCCGGCACAGUACGUCACCGCAGGGACUGCGUUACACCGGAGCAGUGUCCCUGUUACCAUAACAACAGGCCAUAUGCAGCAGGACAGACUAUAUCUGUGGACUGUAACACCUGUGUGUGUGAGAACAGAAAGUGGAAGUGCACAGAGAAGGUGUGUGAUGGUGUGUGCCGCACUGUCGGGGAGGCGCAUUACAUCACUUUUGAUGGCCUCAAGUACUCCUUCCCUGGUCUUUGCCAGUAUGUCCUGGUCCAGGAUAUGUGUAAUGGGGAAGAGGGUUCCUUCAGAGUGCUGGUGGAAAAUGAAGCCUGUGGAAUUGUGGGACAUCGCUGUGCAAAAGCUAUCACCAUCUUCUAUCAGGGCGGGUUAAUUAUAAUGCAGCAUGGAGAGGUGAAGAUGAAGAGGCCAGUGCCACAGGGCUCACAGGUGGAGAUUGUCCGAUCCGGUCAAUUUUACACCCUGCUGCUGGGGAAACACAUUUCCCUCAGCUGGGACAAGGGAACUCGCCUCCUGGUUCACAUCUCAGCUUCAUACAGGGGCCGGGUAUGUGGCCUGUGUGGUAACUUUGAUGGGAAUGUCAACAAUGACUUGAUGAGCAGCAACAACCAGAUGGAGGUGGAUUCUUCACACUUUGGGAACUCCUGGAAGGUUGUUCCCAGCUGUGCCGAUGUAACACAGAUACGUGCUCCUUGCAGCGACAACAUUGUCAGGUUGGUAACAGUGGAGCAGUCGUGUCGUGUGAUCACUGGUCCCCUCUUUAAAGAAUGCAACAGCCAGGUGGAUGCAGAGCCAUAUGUUGAGAUGUGUGUAGAGGCAGCAUGCUCAUGCCCAUCAGUGGGUGACUGUGAGUGUUUCUGUGACGUUAUUGCAGCCUAUGCACAGGCCUGCUCAGAGAGAGGUGUAUCCAUCAACUGGAGAUCCAAUGAUCUUUGCCCCAUGAGCUGUGAGGAGCUGAACCCUAGGAUCCCUGCUGUAGGGGAGGAGUUGUGCCAGUGGAGGUAUAACACUUGUGGCCCUGCCUGUCCAAUCACCUGCCAGCAUCCAGAUCCACUCCACUGUUCACUCACAUGUGUGGAAGGCUGUCAUGCCUACUGCCCACCAGGCCAACUACUGGAUGAGGUGGCCAUGCGAUGUGUAGAUCCUUCUCAGUGCCAGGUGUGUAUCCAUGAGGGUCAGCGAAUCUCCCACGGCAACAAGGUCAUCCUGAACCACAAUGACCCCAGCCACUGUAAGAUAUGCCACUGCGACAACAACACCCUGACCUGCGAAGCUUGUACCUCCCUCACCUUGUUCACCACUCCUACACCAACACCUGCCUACGCCACCUUCACGUCCAUGCCCUUCACCACCUUGAUGCCUGAGGGCACAUGUGACCGUGCCAUGGAUCUCGCAUUCUUAUUAGAUGGUUCAGAAGCCCUGAGCGAAGACGAAUUUCAGGCAACAAAAGAGUUCAUACUGGGAGUGGUGGAGCGGUUCCGCAUGGGCUCAGCUCACACUCGAGCCACAGUCCUGCUUUACCACUCUGGAGUCAAAACAUAUGACCUGCAGGUUCAGAAGUGGCUGUUUAAGAAGACUGUGCAUGAGCUGCAUUACACAGGAGGAGAUGCAGCCUUCUUGGAUGAGGCCGUCAAAUAUCUUGCUAUCAACAUCUACGACAAGAAUAAGCGUGAGAAUGCUGGCCGCGUUGCCAUUAUCUUGACAGCCAGCGCUAAUCCUCGCCAUGUCCGCUCCAUUGUCAAGAUGCUCCGCAAAAAAGCCAUCACCACCCUAACAGUGGCACUGGGUCCUGGGGUAGACAUGGGGCAAAUUAAUGACAUUACAAAAGCCAAUGAGGACAAUAGGGCUUAUGUGCUGAGCAGCACAAAUGAGCUCCCUGAUCGUCUGUUAGAGCUAACAGAUUACCUCUGCACCUUGGGGAUGGAGCCUGAGGUGGUUAAACCUCCAGCACCGAAGUCCACACCGGGUAAAGCUCCGAAGUCCACAACCACUACCACCACCCCAGUUCCUCACCUGGAGCCAAACCCCACACAUCUCCCCAACACUCGUGCAUCCACCGCACCCUCUGGCCUGUCUCCCAUCACUACAUCGCCGUCUUCCCUCUCUCCAGCCAAAGACGUGACAUUCAUCCUGGAAGGCUCUGAUUCUGUCGGUGAGACCAACUUCAACAAGUCGCUAAUCUUCCUGGAGGAAGUUAUCUCAAAGCUGACUGAGGAUGAAGAGUUAAUUCGCAUCACUGUGAUCCAAUAUUCAAUUACGGUCACUGUUGAGAUUAGUCGCUGGGAGGUGAGACACCACAGAACCCGACUGCUGCAACGACUGAGGGAGAUUCGUUGGAGAGGUGGAAGCAAAACAAACACUGGGACAGCUGUCACGACAGCUAUCCAAGAAAUGGCUACAGUCCAGCCCUCACCUGGCCCCACCCCUCCGCAGCUAGUCUUCCUCGUGACAGAAAACCCACCGACUGACACAGUGACACGUCCACCAUCUACACACACCCACACUCAUGUGUAUCCAAUUGGUGUUGGACCAAAAGUACAGGAAAUUGACUUGUUCCCAUUCAGCUCCCCUCAGCGCCCACUGAUGGUGGAUGACUACACCCAUCUGACAACACUGGUCCACCGCAUAGUCAAUAUCACACGCACCACAGUCAUUCCACUCUCACCUACACUGCCACCUCUUGUCGUCCCAACACACUCCAGCCUGCCACCCACAGUGCCAUGUAAGACACCCGUAGAUGUGAUGUUCCUGCUGAAGGCUGGACAGCAGUUUGAGGACAUGAAGACAUUUGUCAAAGCUUUUAUCAGUAAUUCUGACAUAGGGCAGAACACCACUCAUGUAAGUGUGGUUCAGUAUGGUGACACCAACACAGCAGAGAUCACAUGGAAGAAUGAGCAAAGCAAAUCGGAGCUCCUGAAACUGGUGGAGAGCAUUCCAAGCAGGACCACUGCAGCCCCUGCACUAGGCUCUGCACUGCAAUUCGCUGUGCAAACGUCCAUCUCACCAGUCAGUGGUGGAAGAGUUGGCAUAGCCAAGGCUGUGGUAAUGCUGGUGACUGACAAAUCAACUGAUGAUAUCAAAGAAGCAGCUAAUGAGGCCCUGGCGGCAGGUGUGUCAGUUUUCCCCAUCGGGGUUGGACCAGGCUAUGACAGGAGUGAACUUGGUGUGCUUGGCCGCCAUGGCAACCAAGACAACUCUCUACACCUGAACAGCAUGGACCAGUUGCGGAUGUUGCUGACUCUGGACAGUAGUUACGCAGAGCGAAUCUGCAGAGCGGGGCCACCAGGAGUGUGUGUUGAUGAUAAUGGAAAUGAGAGAAAGCCUGGCGAGUCCUGGCUGCUGGAGGACGGCUGCCACUCACUCCUGUGCCACCCCAGUGGGGCAGUGACAGUACAGAAUCACAAAGUCAGCUGCGACAGGCUGGAGCCGCCAGCAUGCAGAAACAACAUGCCGCCUGUCAGAGUCCAGGAAACCUGUGGCUGCCACUGGGAAUGCCCUUGCAUGUGUAUGGGCAGCUCCACCAAUCAUGUGGUGAGGUUUGACAGCUUGGCACUUAGGCUGGAUGGGGAGGGUUUGUGCUCCUACACACUUCUCACUGUCAGCAGAGGCGUCAAUGAAGGGUCAGAGGUCAAACUACACAGUGGACGUUGUCAAGACUCUGCGAAUUACAACCAAGUCUGCAUGAAAGCCAUGGAGGUGAUCCAUGGACCACAUAAGCUCCUGCUGAAGGAUGACAUGACGGCUGUGAUUGAUCGUGAAGAGCUUGCACUGCCGUGGCGCUUCUCUGGCCUGGAGCUGGUGCGCUAUGGAGGAGUGAUGCUGCAGCUGAAAUCAGAUCACGGCUACGUCUUGACUUUCACCCCUCAAAGCAAUGAGUUUACGAUCACAUUACUCAGCUCGACCAUCAGUGGUCAAACUGCUGGACUCUGCGGUGCCUGUGGGGAGGAGAAAGUUAAUGUCCUCUCUUUACGUAAUGGCAACUCGACCACCGACCAGCCAGCCUUUAUCUCAGACUGGACUGUGGCUGAGGACGGUGGUGUGUGCCUGCCAAAACGGAGGGCAGUGUGUGUGUCUGGAGCAGCGAUGGGAUGUCAGGCCCUUCGUUCUGAGGUGUUUGAACCAUGUCACGCAUACAUUCCCGUCCAAGUUUUUCUCAGCAAGUGUGAGGAACAGGCAUGUGAGGAGUCCGAUGUGUGCGAGCUAAUUUCUGCCUACGCACGCCUCUGUAGACAGAGAGGCGUGUGCGUGGACUGGAGGAGCCCCCACCUCUGUCCAUUACAGUGCCCGACUUCCAUGGAGUAUGAUGCAUGUCGGACAGGGUGUGUACAGGACUGUGGUAGCCUCCAGACGUUGCCAGGCGACUGGUCGGUUGCUAGGGGUAACGAGUCAUCCUGUAUGGACACACCUACUGAAGGCUGUUUCUGCACUGGAGGGAUGGUUUUGCAUCACGGACGGUGUGUAUCACCAGAGGCAUGCGGGCAGUGUGUCGACCAACAUGGGAAGACAUAUAUGUAUAUGCAGAGUUGGGUACCGGAUGAGAACCCAUGCUUGAUUUGCAUGUGCUUAGACCAACAACGCAUCAACUGCACAGCCCGGCCCUGCAAUGAUGUCAAAGCUCCAGUGUGUGGACCCUGUGAGAUCCUGAAAGAAAAGAGAGAAUCCAAGUGCUGCCCUGAGUAUGAGUGUGUGUGUGAUAUGGUGAAUUGUGACCUACCUGAAGUGCCCCGUUGCGAGGAUGGUCAGACUGUGGUGCUGAAAAACCCCGGAGAAUGUCAACCUAUACACGAGUGCGUGUGCAAAAAGGAAGAGUGCGCUCUUCAAGCUCCCCCCUCCUGUCCAGCACAUCGCCAACUGUCAGUCAAAAAGACAAAGUGCUGUGAUGUGUUUGAAUGUGCAUGCAGCUGCCAGAACUCCACUCACAGCUGCCCCACUGGGUUCAUCACAUCCACAUCUACCAACGACUGUGGCUGCACAGAGACCAACUGCCUGCCAGACAAGGUGUGCGUGGUUGGUGGCGUUUCUCAUCCAGUGGGGAGUGAAUGGGAGGAAGGGUGUGAGAAGUGCAGUUGCACCCAGCUACAGGACAAAGACACUUCACUCCACAUUGCUCAGUGCAAACCACCAGUUUGUGAUCAGACCUGCCCUCUUGGCUCAACAUACACUCCAUCAGAAGGAGAGUGCUGUGGGAAGUGCACACCAACCAGCUGUGUGGAGUCAGUGGGAGAUAUGCGAGGGGACACACUUAUUGGGGGAAACCUCAGACGUGUGGGUGAGGUCUGGCCGUCUCCACAUGAUAAAUGUGUCUUACAUCAGUGUGUGAAGGUGAAAGAUGAGGUGUUCAUCUCUUCAACAAACAUCAGCUGCUCUGCUAUGGACGCUCCAUCCUGCCCGCUGGGAACUGAGUUACGCUGCAACACCCAGGACUGCUGCCCUCGCUGCCACUGUGCCCCUAUGGAUGCCUGUGUUCUCAAUAACACUGUGAUAGGAGCAGGAGAAAGGAUGAUGAUGGAUGUGUGUACACACUGUGAGUGUAACAUGGAGGCCGGUGCAGUGAAGAAAUACAAACUGUCCUGCAGACAAAUCAGCUGUCCCUCUUGCCCCAUGGGAUACACUCUGCAGAAGGAGGAAGACGCUUGCUGUGGCCGCUGUGUUCCCACUGCCUGUGUCAUGCAAAGGCCCGAUGGAAACCUCUUCAAUCUGCAAGUAAACACCACUAGCGAGGACGGUUGCAACUCGUAUACCUGUGGUGUAAACAGUAAAGGAGGUCUUGUCCUGCAGACCAAAGUGACAACCUGCCCUCCUUUUAACCGCCAAGCCUGCCUGGAUCAGGGGGGGAAAGUGAGCCAGAUUGGAACCACCUGCUGUGAAGCGUGUACUGAGCCAGAGUGUCGAAGGACAGCGGGAACACUUGACUACAUUAAAGUGGAUGACUGCCAAUCAGAGCACCAGAUAGAACUGCACUACUGUGAGUGUCUCAUGUGGCCCUGCAGCUUCUCCUCCUCCACCUCCUCCUGAAGCCUUCAUCUUCUUCAUCAUCAGCUGCUCAGUGACUCUGUUGGACGUCUCACCGUGUGGCAGCAGCUCAGGAGUUUGCAGUCAACCAAGGCCGACUCAGAAUCACUCCCACCGGGAAGAUCUGUGAAGGAAGGUCCACCCGGCUGGUCCAGAAGCUCCGGUCCAGCAGAGCAGCGUCAGGAUGGAGACGUAACCGGUGUUGAUGUCACCGCCUUGAUGAAUAGAAGAAAAGCCUGUAUUUGGAUCCAGUCCAGUGACACUCCACUCCACUCCACACCACAGACCACAACCUUUCCACUCCACUAUCACCCUCCACAAGGUUCCAAGCAGGGAUUCGAACCAUGACCAUCCACAUGACAGACACACACCCUCUGUGUGAGCUAUCUGUCACACAAGGUCCCUGGUGGAGUUUGUUGGAAUGAUGGUUGCAAGAGGUUGUCAUGCAGCCAAAGUGUAAAAAGAGCCUUGAGCUGGAUUCCAACCAAGGACCUCCUGGAUGAGAGGCAGAUAACUUACCACUGCACUAUCCUUCCUACUGGGUGUAGCUGUUAGUUUUCGUAAAUGAUGGUACACAAAAGUAUUAAGGAAGUGAAGAUAAUAAAGGUACUAAGGUACCGGGGAGGCAAAAAACUUACCUCUACACCACCUGUCCUACAAGAUGUUGCUCUAACUUUGCUUAAAUGAUGCUAUCAACCAGUACUGGCGCAACCAAACGACAAAUAAAAGGUGUGAGUGGAGAUCUGAAUCAUGUCAGGUUUGUUUCUGAGACUGAAUACACCUGAUCUCAUCUGAUCUGCAAAGCUAAGCAGGGUUGGACCUGGUUAGUAUUUGGAUGGGAGACUACCUGGGAAUACCAGGUGCUGUAAGCUUUUUACUUCUCCUCACAACCUGAACAACACACUGCUAGCGACAGCUAUCAACUAAAACCUCUUGGUUUCUUUAUUAUACACUCUAUGAGGUGGAUAAGCUGCAGCUCAUGCUGAUUUAUUGCUGCUUCUGGUUGGAGCCAAAGAACAAAGGCUUCACCUGUUGGAGCAGCUGAUGUCCUGCAGCCUCUUCACCACAGAAAGCCUCUGACAGCUUCAAUUCUUUACACUCUGACUGCAAGACACCAAUCACAUAGGAACAUUUACAUGUAUGGAACAAAGAGCUGAGCUGACACUCAACAUAUGUUUGAGCAUUUAUUGAUAAAGACAUUCAAACAUGUCUAGAGAUAGAACACCAACGCACGGUGUAAGAAAGGUCAGAACAGACUUCACCUGCUCAGGAAACUGAGGUCCUUCGGGGUGCAGGGAGCAAUUCUGAGGACCUUUUAUGGUUGUGUGGUGGUAUCAGCCAUCCUGUAUGGACUGGUCUGCUGGAGCAGCAGCAUCACGGCUGCAGACAGGAAGAGACUAAAGAAACUGGUUAAGAAAGCAAGCUCUGUCCUGGGCUGGUGGUAGACAGGAGGAUGAUGACAAAGCUGUUGUCUAUCAUGGAGGACAUCUCCCACCCCCUGCAGGAAACAGGACCAUCACCGGCAGCUCCUUCAGGGACAGACUGCUUCACCCACGAUGUUGGAAGGAGGUCCUUCCUUCCUGCAGCAGUCAGACUGUGUUCAAUCAAGCCUGCUCCCAGUAGUUCAGAUCACCCAUGAAGUAACUGCAAUAAAAUGUAAAUAAGUCAA